rnacentral:rRNA from 1 species
GAUCCUGGCUCAGGAUGAACGCUGGCGGCGUGCUUAACACAUGCAAGUCGAGCGAAGCGCUUUUGCGGAUUUCUUCGGAUUGAAGCAACUGUGACUGAGCGGCGGACGGGUGAGUAACGCGUGGGUAACCUGCCUCAUACAGGGGGGAUAACAGUUGGAAACGGCUGCUAAUACCGCAUAAGCGCACAGUACCGCAUGGUACCGUGUGAAAAACUCCGGUGGUAUGAGAUGGACCCGCG